rnacentral:rRNA from 1 species
UACGUAGGGGGCUAGCGUUGUCCGGAUUUAUUGGGCGUAAAGAGCGUGUAGGCGGCCAUACAGGUCCGUUGUGAAAACUGGAGGCUUAACCUCCAGACGUCGAUGGAAACCGUAUGGCUAGAGUCCGGAAGAGGAGAGUGGAAUUCCUGGUGUAGCGGUGAAAUGCGUAGAGAUGUGGAGGAAUACCGAUGGCGAAGGCAGCCCCUGGGCCAAUACUGACGCUCAUGCACGAAAGCGUGGGGAGCAAACAGG